GAUGAACGCUGGCGGCGUGCCUAAUACAUGCAAGUCGAGCGAACGGACGAGAAGCUUGCUUUUCUGAUGUUAGCGGCGGACGGGUGAGUAACACGUGGAUAACCUACCUAUAAGACUGGGAUAACUUCGGGAAACCGGAGCUAAUACCGGAUAAUAUUUUGAACCGCAUGGUUCAAAAGUGAAAGACGGUCUUGCUGUCACUUAUAGAUGGAUCCGCGCUGCAUUAGCUAGUUGGUAAGGUAACGGCUUACCAAGGCAACGAUGCAUAGCCGACCUGAGAGGGUGAUCGGCCACACUGGAACUGAGACACGGUCCAGACUCUACGGGAGGCAGCAGUAGGGAAUCUUCCGCAAUGGGCGAAAGCCUGACGGAGCAACGCCGCGUGAGUGAUGAAGGUCUUCGGAUCGUAAAACUCUGUUAUUAGGGAAGAACAUAUGUGUAAGUAACUGCGCACAUCUUGACGGUACCUAAUCAGAAAGCCACGGCUAACUACGUG
rnacentral:rRNA from 1 species